AACGUGCCUUUCACCACGGAAUAGUCCCGGGAAACUGGGUUUAAUACCGUAUACGCCCUUCGGGGGAAAGAAUUUCGGUGAGAGAUCGGCCCGCGUCUGAUUAGGUAGUUGGUGGGGUAAUGGCCUACCAAGCCGACGAUCAGUAGCUGGUUUGAGAGGAUGAUCAGCCACACUGGGACUGAGACACGGCCCAGACUCCUACGGGAGGCAGCAGUGAGGAAUCUUGGACAAUGGGGGCAACCCUGAUCCAGCCAUGCCGCGUGAACGAUGAAGGCCUUAGGGUUGUAAAGUUCUUUCAACGGUGAAGAUAAUGACGGUAGCCGUAGAAGAAACCCCGGCUAACUCCGUGCCAGCAGCCGCGGUAAUACGGAGGGGGUUAGCGUUGUUCGGAAUUACUGGGCGUAAAGCGCACGUAGGCGGACUAUUAAGUCAGGGGUGAAAUCCCGGGGCUCAACCCCGGAACUGCCUUUGAUACUGGUAGUCUAGAGUUCGAGAGAGGUGAGUGGAAUUCCGAGUGUAGAGGUGAAAUUCGUAGAUAUUCGGAGGAACA
rnacentral:rRNA from 1 species